rnacentral:rRNA from 1 species
UACGUAGGGGGCUAGCGUUGUCCGGAAUCAUUGGGCGUAAAGAGCGUGUAGGCGGUCCGGUAAGUCCGCUGUGAAAGUCCAGGGCUCAACCCUGGAAUGCCAGUGGAAACUGUCGGGCUAGAGUCCGGAAGAGGCGAGUGGAAUUCCCAGUGUAGAGGUGAAAUUCGUAGAUAUCGGGAGGAACACCAGUGGCGAAGGCGGCGACCUGGGCCAAUAUCGACGCUGAGGUGCGAAAGCGUGGGGAGCAAACAGG